GGGUGGCUGGAUGUAAUCUGGUUCAUUGCCGGCAUCCCUCUGAGUGGUCUUUAAACACAGCCCAGAAGGCUUUUAUUUUAAACCUGUUCAGCCAUCAUUAGCAGGAUAAAAGCUUCAGGUCCACAAUGUGUCCUUCGCCUUUGAGCUGAUGCUGGACGGAGGCCUCAAGAAACCCAAGGCUCGUCCUGAAGGACUAAAGCACAGGGUCAUCCCAUGGCUGCUUUUGGAUCACAGGGAGUCAGGACUCCAAGGGCCUCGAGCGUUACCUGGUCCAGGCCCAUUUUACAGAUGAAGGCACUGAGCCCCAAAUCACGGAAGUCACUUAGAGGUCACAGAGCAAGUGAAAUGAACAAGGUGUCUGAUUCCCAGGAAGGUUCUUGUCCACAUAAAGAAAGUGGCCCAAGACUUCCAGGGCCCCAGAGGGAGCUGUCGGGUC
rnacentral:lncRNA from 1 species